UUAUAACCUAUGAUCACAGAAAGUCCUGAUCCUCACGUUUCUCUGCUGUCACCUGUGGGCUCCUCCAGAGCCGUGAAGAAGGGGGAACUCCAGCCCCACCAUGACAAGACCGGGUCUUCCGUGCAUGGCGACUCCACCCAUGUGAGAGCUCUCUUAUGUGAGUCCUCAGCAGCACAUUGUGCUGUCUGUGGUCUAUGGACACUGACUGCCAUCUAAGCAACACCACAGCUCCCUCCUCUCCCCCUAGACGCCACUGUCUUAGAGCCUCCAUGUGCAUUUGCUAUGACAUACAUCAGUGUUGAUGAGAGACAGGAACACUGCCGGGUGAUCUCGAGCUGCCAAAAUAAUCAGCUCUGUGCACAACAUGGCUUAAAGGAUUUUUCGGUUAGCAGCAUGCAUCCACUAAAGAGCCUAGACACUCACAUUUUUUCUGGGGACUUCCACACUCUAGACUACUGCCACACAGGCAAGGCACCUUUGGCCGGUUCUGUGGAAAACCGGAUGUAUCGGAGUGUGGAGAACCUUCACUGGGCAACUGUUGCCGACUCUGGGCUGUAUUCUCACUGCCGGAGCCUGGAUAACGAGAUCGUCUUUCGCUAUAGAGGCACCAGUCAGUGGACAGAAGGCUGUGUGGAUGUGGCCCCAGUACAGAGCACGUCGGACUCUCCGAGAAACCUUUCUCUCCGUGCUAAACAGACGUCUCGAUCGGCACAGAACGUGCUCCUCCCUCCCUUUGCCAAAGUGCCUCAGUGGCUCUUCCCUUCUGCAGAGGAAAGAGCCCUACAUGGGGAUGCCAGAAAAGAGCUGAAGGAGAAGCUGAGGCUGCACAGCAGUAAGGUGGCAGAGCCCUGUAAGCCAGUGCGUCCCCAGGUGGCCCUGCCUGACCUGAUGGCCCGGGAGUUCUUUGAGUGCCAGGUGUGUCAGCAGUGCAAGAACGGUUGUGCUGUCAACUACUGCACGGUGUUGGUGGAACACACUGCCCUCAGGCACGGCCUCACGGGGAGACAGGGACUGUGCUUUGCACACAGGAUCAUCAGUCCAGAAGACAUCAAGCAGGAGGCUCAGAGGAGGCUUCAGCUCCGAAGGCAGAAUAGCUCCCCCAGUUUGCCCCUUCAGCACACAGGGGAAAGCCAUGAGAUGGGCAAAUCCAGAACAGCAGAAACCCUAGAACAAUACAGUGGGGAAACAGAUGGCAAAGUCACAUUGGGACAGAGCAAGAAAGGUUACUGUAAAGGGAGGCUCUACAUACCCACCUUUGAGGAAUUUAAGCAGAUGAGAAGAAAGGAAGGAAAUUCAUCUACCAGCAGCAGUGAGACAACGGAGUGCUUGAAUAAGGGUCUGCCUGCAAACCAGACACUGGAGGAGGAAAAGAAUGUCUGUCCAGAAGCUUUGGGGACCAAAGCUGUCAAUGAAUCUGCUGUCACAGCGGAGGAUGAUGACAAUGUAUUCCAUGAAAACCACACCUCUGCUGGCUUUUCCCAGUAUCCAGCCACAUGGGAUGGUUUCAGGAUGAGCAGUCCUGAGCUGAAGGACAAAACCUUCCAUACCUCUAGCCCAGAUACAUCGCCAGUCCCUAUUUGCUCCAGUCCAAUUCCACGAUCACCUUUACAGGCAGUAGCAAUACACAGAACUGGGCAGGAGAUCUUGAGUGAUGAGCAGCAGAAAGGAGAGACAAGAAAAUUAAAUGAUGUCCUCCACCUUACAGGGCAGUCCCUGGCUUCUGAAGCCCAGUCCUCUUGCUGUUCAUCGCUGCUGUUAGAAGCUACAGACUUAUCCAGCUAUGGAGCUAAGCUACAAAAAAUGAAGGAUGAAUUCAUAGGUUCAGCCUUGGAACUUAUUAAGAAAAGCUGCAAUGCUGAGACUGCUGCCAAAUCCCCCUCUAAGGGACAGUGUGAUCUGAGGGAAGCUGAUCUCCCACCUUCGGAGGACAGCCAGCAGCCCACAGCGAUGUCCGUGGCAACAGAGACCUGGGAGAACAAGCCAAGCAAUGAGACAGCCAGCGCCACUCCACCUGCAGGGAAUACCCCCAGUCCUGGCUGUCGCCGAUCCAGCUCCGACAUAGUCCAUGAGAGCACGGAUGGUGCCAAGGCCCAGCGGGAGUGCCGGCUGCGGCCACACUUCAGUGACCCUAUGCCGACAGACUCGGUGAAGAGGAAGCAGCUGGAGCUGAAGAUCGCGGCUGCAGCGCGGCAGCACGCGCAGAAACGCCGGCAGGAGCGAGACUAUGGUCCAGUGGUAGCAAAAGCCAAUCUCGGCCAUGGUGGCAGCUUUGAUGAGACUCGCCGUGCCCUACGUGGCUCCCUCCGCUCCAGGCACCAUUGGAGCAAUGUCAGCAGCCUGAGCACAGACAGUGGGAUUGUUGGCGUGAAUGAUGCCCGGGACGACCUGGAUCCCAGCGAGGGCACCCGGACCAAGUCAGCAGAUGUGGAGAGGGCAGAUAGUGGCAUUGGCCAAAUGCCAGCCAGGAAGUGGAGGAACAGGGCAUCUGAAACACUGAGCUCCCUGCAGGCCUGGGAAGCCCAUCGUCCCUGCACUGAUUGUGGAGAAAGGGACCUGCCGGUGGAGACAGAUGUUCAGAACUGCAACCAGAGGCGGGCUGACCUCUGCGAGAAGUGCCGCAAGCGCAGGACGGAGCGCAAGGAGUCUGUGCUGGAGUUUGUCAACACAGAGGCCAGCUAUGGAGAGGACCUGCGCAUCAUUAAAGAGGAGUUCUACCUCCCCAUGCAGGCGGCCGGGUUGCUGAGCCAGGAGCAGCUCCAGGGCAUCUUCAGCAACAUCCAGGAGCUCAUUGACCUCAAUGAGAACUUCCUGGAGAUACUUCAGGAAGAGAUCGAUCAGGCCUUUGACCAGGGGGAUGAUGACCUGAUGACUGUGUGCAUCGGAGAAGUAUUCCUAGAGUUUGUCAACAUGCUGCCAGCCUUCCAGACCUACUGCCUUCAGCAGUCCUCCUCCGUGAACAUGCUCAACGCACUGGAGAAGGAAAAGGAGUUGCUCAGAAUAUUCCUCAAUGUCUCCCAGAACGACAACACAGCACUGCGGCGGAUGAACUUGAGGUCCUUCCUGAUGGCCCCUCUGCAAAGAGUCACCAAGUACCCACUGCUGCUCAGCAGAAUCAUCAAGGCCACCACCGAGUACCACCCGGAUCACGGCAGCCUGCGGGAGGCCAAGAGCCGCAUCGAGUCCCACCUAGAGCACAUCAACAUGAAAACCAAGCAGGAGGGGAACACAUGGACCCUCCGAUCCUUUCGCCAGGACAGCAAGAAGAAGAGGGAAGUCAUUAAUAUUGAGAUGAGAGAAACUGCCCUCAAAACUGUUGGUUGGCUGCGGGAGGAAACGCGAUUUGUGAUGGAGGGGUCUCUGCAGCUGGCCCAGCCCCCCGAUGGCCAGUGGGUGAAAAAAGGCAGCAAGACCCUGAAGUUCCAGAACAUGCAGGUUCUCCUCCUGGUGAACAUGAAGCGUGUGUCUGAGUCCAGCCUGGAAGCAGCCGAGCCAGGGCCUGUGAAGGAUGCUGUGCUGGUACUCAUCAGGGACAAAAAUAACGGGAAGUUCCAUUUGCUCAGGGAGCCCUUGAGGCUGAGUAAUUGCAUUGUCUCUACUGAUCCAGACUGUGACGACACUUUUGAACUCAUUGAGAUCAGGAGGGAGGCGUUUGUGUUCCGGGACAGCGACCGGGCACGGACUCACCACUGGUUCAGGCAGAUCAGGAGGUACUCCAGGGAGCUGGGCUCCUGGAAGAAGCGGCGGAACGCGCUGCCCAACAUCAUGAUCAGCACUCCUCACACCAGGCCCUGAGUCCUGCACGGGCUGACUUGGCUUGACCAAUGUCAUGUGCAGAGACCAUCAAGAGCCUCAGUGGCUUGAACUUGCUGUGCUCCGUGGACAACACAGGGAGGAGUCUGACCCCCAAAGACUCUUAACAGCACUGGAAGCACCACAGCCUAAUGCUGGUCUCCAGCCUCAGGACUCACAACCAGUUUGUGACUCAUGUACAUACAGAGAUGGUCUCCCCUCGAGGAGCAGAUCACUAGAGGAAAAUACUGUUUAACUUGUUGAUAUUGCACUGCAGGAGAAUGAUGUAUGAUGCUUGCCAUUGCAUGGAUCGUGUUGAAAGCCAGUCUUGAUGAGAGAGGUUUCCACUACUGACUGUAUUUCAUCAGCAUUAGGCAUUUUAUUUUACAGGAGGAUUCAUACAAGCACAUUUGUGUAUUUCUCCAGAGAUCAACCAGCAUCAGUGGGCACCACAUGAAGGCAGACAGAAGCCACAUUCAUAAAGGUAGCCCUAGUCUUGUAACGUCACCACUGACACAAUCCCUGAGCAGGCCUCAAACUGUGCCCAGUGCUUUGUCCUCUGGCCACAGCUGCCAGGGCUUGUUACACUGCUCCAGGCACUGAGGCAGAGACCAGCAGUGAGACAUGAUGUGACUCAUUGUAUUUUCUCUUCAUCUGCUGUAUUUUCUCUUCAUCUGCACCAUCCAGCAUUCUGGUGCUUCAUUUUGUUCUAGAGGAAAUGGAAAGAUUUGCAUCAUCUGGAGGGUGCUCAAGACGUGAGGGUGGCUGCACAUAGCUGAGCACUGUAGUGAGCAAUAGCUGUCAAAAUGCUUGUCAGGGCAGCAGCCUGGCUUCCUCAGAGAUGGAUGCCUGAGCAGAGCAGCUGCUGGAGGAAAAUUUCUCUUAUGCUGUCAUGACAGAUCUGCAUCUAUGAACCAUCAAGCCCCAUUCACCUCACACGUAAAAAGCAACAGCUUGUAGCACCUUUGUCUUCCCUGCCAGGAUCACAAUGGCCCAGCCAUCUUCUGUUCAUUACCUCCGGGGCAGCUUUGACAAGGCAAGGCAUAGGUACAAGUAAGUGUAACAGAUUAAUUUAUCCAAACAGCAAGUGGCUUUCACAGCCACACAAAGCUGCUGCUUUCUGGAAAGUUUUCAAUUACUUUCCAGCACAGUGAUUUUCUCCACAUCAAUUCAUGCUCGAAACCAGCUGUGGACUGUUUGUACAGUCAUAUCUUUCAAUCAAGAUACCUUCAGCCAGCCUGGCUGUUCAGAAAGGUUAGAG